rnacentral:rRNA from 1 species
AUCGAACGCUGGCGGCAUGCCUAACACAUGCAAGUCGAGCGAGCGGCGGACGGUUGCGUACUGUAUGGUGACUGCCCGUUACCUGCGGAUCACUACUGGAUACGGUAGCUAAUACCGCAUUCUAUCGGAUACCGCUUAUGGGAUUGGCUAGUAGGUGAGGUAAUGGCCCACCUAGGCGACGAUCCCUAGCUGGGCUGCGAGGAUGAUCAGCCACACUGGGACUGGGAAACGGCCCAGACUCCGACGGGGGCAGCAGUGGGGAAUAUUGCACAAUGGGCGAAAGCCUGAUGAAGCAAUGCCGCGUGUAUGAAGAAGGCCCUAGGGUUGUAAAGUACUUUCAGUCGGGAGGCGGUAACGACAGAGGAAGCACCGGCUAACUCCGUGCCAGCCGCCGCGGUAAUAC